GCUUAACUGCGAGACAGACACGUCGAGCAGAGACGAAAGUCGGUCAUAGUGAUCCGGUGGUCCCGCGUGGGUGGGCCAUCGCUCAACGGAUAAAAGGUACGCCGGGGAUAACAGGCUGAUACUGCCCAAGAGUCCAUAUCGACGGCAGUGUUUGGCACCUCGAUGUCGGCUCAUCUCAUCCUGGGGCUGGAGCAGGUCCCAAGGGUAUGGCUGUUCGCCAUUUAAAGUGGUACGCGAGCUGGGUUUAGAACGUCGUGAGACAGUUCGGUCCCUAUCUGCCGUGGACGUUGGAGAUUUGAGGAAAGCUGCUCCUAGUACGAGAGGACCGGAGUGGACGAACCUCUGGUGUUCGGGUUGUGACGCCAGUCGCAUUGCCCGGUAGCUAUGUUCGGACAGGAUAACCGCUGAAAGCAUCUAAGCGGGAAGCCCCUUCCAAGAUGAGAUCUCCCUGGACCCUCGAGGUCCCUGAAGAGCCGUUCAAGACCAGGACGUUGAUAGGUCGGGUGUGUAAGCGCUGCGAGGCGUUGAGCUAACCGAUACUAAUUGCUCGUGC
rnacentral:rRNA from 14 species